rnacentral:rRNA from 1 species
UACGUAGGGGGCUAGCGUUGUCCGGAAUCAUUGGGCGUAAAGCGCGCGUAGGCGGCCCGGUAAGUCCGCUGUAAAAGUCCAGGGCUCAACCCUGGAAAGCCGGUGGAUACUGUCGGGCUCGAGUCCGGAAGAGGCGAGUGGAACUCCUGGUGUAGCGGUGGAAUGCGCAGAUAUCAGGAAGAACACCAACGGCGAAGGCAGCUCGCUGGGACGGUACUGACGCUGGAGACGCGAAAGCGUGGGGAGCGAA